rnacentral:rRNA from 1 species
GACGAACGCUGGCGGCGUGCUUAACACAUGCAAGUCGAACGGAAAGGCCCUGCUUUUGUGGGGUGCUCGAGUGGCGAACGGGUGAGUAACACGUGAGUAACCUGCCCUUGACUUUGGGAUAACUUCAGGAAACUGGGGCUAAUACCGGAUAGGAGCUCCUGCUGCAUGGUGGGGGUUGGAAAGUUUCGGCGGUUGGGGAUGGACUCGCGGCUUAUCAGCUUGUUGGUGGGGUAGUGGCUUACCAAGGCUUUGACGGGUAGCCGGCCUGAGAGGGUGACCGGCCACAUUGGGACUGAGAUACGGCCCAGUCUCCUACGGGAGGCAGCAGUGGGGAGUAUUGCACAAUGGGCGGAAGCCUGAUGCAGCAACGCCGCGUGCGGGAUGACGGCCUUCGGGUUGUAAACCGCUUUCGCCUGUGACGAAGCGUGAGUGACGGUAAUGGGUAAAGAAGCACCGGCUAACUACGUG